rnacentral:rRNA from 1 species
UACGUAGGGCGCAAGCGUUGUCCGGAAUUAUUGGGCGUAAAGAGCUCGUAGGCGGUCUGUCGCGUCGGUCGUGAAAACUUGGGGCUUAACCCUGAGCUUGCGGUCGAUACGGGCAUGACUGGAGUUCGGCAGGGGAGACUGGAAUUCCUGGUGUAGCGGUGAAAUGCGCAGAUAUCAGGAGGAACACCGAUGGCGAAGGCAGGUCACUGGGCCGCAACUGACGCUGAGGAGCGAAAGCAUGGGGAGCGAACAGG